rnacentral:rRNA from 1 species
UACAGAGGGUGCAAGCGUUAAGCGGAAUUACUGGGCGUAAAGCGUGCGUAGGUGGAUAAUUAAGUCAAAUGUGAAAGCCCUGGGCUCAACCUAGGAAUUGCAUCUGAUACUGGUUGUCUAGAGUAUGGUAGAGGAUGGCGGAAUUUCCGGUGUAGCGGUGAAAUGCGUAGAUAUCGGAAGGAACACCAAUGGCGAAGGCAGCCAUCUGGGCCAAUACUGACACUGAGGCACGAAAGCGUGGGUAGCAAACAGG